rnacentral:rRNA from 1 species
UACGAGGGGUGCAAGCGUUGCUCGGAAUUAUUGGGCGUAAAGGGUAGGUAGGUGGUCUCAUUUGUCUGGGGUGAAAGCCUUGAGCUUAACUCAAGAAGUGCCUCGGAAACGGUGAGACUGGAGUCUUGGAGAGGGUUGCGGAAUUCCCGGUGUAGCGGUGAAAUGCGUAGAGAUCGGGAGGAACACCAGAGGCGAAGGCGGCAACCUGGACAAGUACUGACACUCAACUACGAAAGCGUGGGGAGCAAACAGGAUUAGAAACCCGGGUAGUCC